rnacentral:rRNA from 1 species
UACGGAGGGUGCAAGCGUUAUCCGGAUUCACUGGGUUUAAAGGGUGCGUAGGUGGGCUGGUAAGUCAGUGGUGAAAUCUCCAGGCUUAACUUGGAAACUGCCAUUGAUACUAACAGUCUUGAAUACCGUGGAGGUCAGCGGAAUAUGUCAUGUAGCGGUGAAAUGCUUAGAUAUGACAUAGAACACCAAUUGCGAAGGCAGCUGGCUACACGAAUAUUGACACUGAUGCACGAAAGCGUGGGGAUCAAACAGG